CAGUCGAACGAAGCACUUGAGAUUGAUUCUUCGGAAGAUUUCUCUUGUGACUUAGUGGCGGACGGGUGAGUAACGCGUGGGUAACCUGCCUCACACAGGGGGAUAACAGUUGGAAACGACCGCUAAUACCGCAUAACCCGCUAGGGCCGCAUGGCCCGGGCGGAAAAGAUUUAUCGGUGUGAGAUGGACCCGCGUUGGAUUAGCUAGUUGGCAGGGUAACGGCCUACCAAGGCGACGAUCCAUAGCCGGCCUGAGAGGGUGAACGGCCACAUUGGGACUGAGACACGGCCCAAACUCCUACGGGAGGCAGCAGUGGGGAAUAUUGCACAAUGGGGGAAACCCUGAUGCAGCGACGCCGCGUGAGUGAAGAAGUAUUUCGGUAUGUAAAGCUCUAUCAGCAGGGAAGAAAAUGACGGUACCUGACUAAGAAGCCCCGGCUAACUACGUGCCAGCAGCCGCGGUAAUACGUAGGGGGCAAGCGUUAUCCGGAUUUACUGGGUGUAAAGGGAGCGUAGACGGUUAAGCAAGUCAGAAGUGAAAGGCUGGGGCUCAACCCCGGGACUGCUUUUGAAACUGUUUAACUAGAGUGCUGGAGAGGUAAGCGGAAUUCCUAGUGUAGCGGUGAAAUGCGUAGAUAUUAGGAGGAACACCAGUGGCGAAGGCGGCUUACUGGACAGUAACUGACGUUGAGGCUCGAAAGCGUGGGGAGCAAACAGGAUUAGAUACCCUGGUAGUCCACGCC
rnacentral:rRNA from 1 species